AACUGCCAGCUGGUAAACACUGCAGCGUAUGGUAAAACCCAAACAGUCAAAGACAAUGGGAAAAUUGACCUGGAAAAGUGGAAUACCUGCUUUGUUAUCAACACAAACUUGAAACACAAUCAUGGACAGCCUGGGUGGACCAUCCCGUGCUAACAAUAUGCUGUGAGCCUGUCCACAUUAAACCUAAAAACAAUAUCGGACACCAACUUAAAAAUAAUGGAACAGCCAGCUGGUGAGGUGAUGGAGUAAGUUGCGACUGAAUCAGCUAGGAUUGCAGCUUGCGAUGCUAUCUUAAAUCAAAUGACCUGUGAUGACGCUGUUUGGUAACGAGAUCCAGAUGUCAACGACUCGAUGGCUGAAUGAGUACUUUCUGAUGUCCAAACGAGGGACACCAGAUGGGAUGAGCAUAUUCAACGUAAGGUCUGAUCAUUGCAGUAUUUAACUUUUUGAAUGUCGGAAUGUCAAGGUAUUCAAAGGAUCUUCGAAUUGCACCUAAUACUGAAUUUGCCUUAUUCACUUCUUCUGUCAAAUGUUGUUCAAAAGUCAGCUUAUCAUCUAUGGUAACCCCGAUAUCUUUCUCUGCAUGGCUUGUUUCCAUUGGUUUCAAUUCUGGUCUUAGUUUGUAUGUUCUUUCAGCCAAUUUCUUAUUGCUUAUAGCCAUUGUUUUACAUUUGUCUGGAUGGAAUCAGAGCAGCCACUUGUCAGACCACUUACUCGUGCUAAAUAUGUCUUGUUGUAGCAUUUCUUUGUCUUGUUCCGAGGCAAUAUCCCUGAAUACGUUUGUGUCAUCUGCAUAUAAAUACAGCUGGCAAUCAUUUUCUAUGUUUUCAGUGAUGUCGUUAAUGAAAAUGACGAAGAGCAUUGGUCCGAGCACGGAGCCCUGGGGUAUUCCGCUAGUGACUAAAUGCCACUUAGAUUCACUUCCAUCAACUAUAUCUUUUUGUCUUUUGUUUGAGAGAAAGUUUUCAUUCCAGUUUAUUGACUUAUUACCAAAGCGAUAUAUUUUCAGUUUGUGCACGAGACGCCGGUGUGAAACUUUGUCGAAGGCUUUCAUGUACUAGUAAUCACAGUAUGCCUCGUCGGUAUUAUCAGCGUUGAAGGAAGGAAACUCCCGCAGGUUACUCAUAUGAAUCGGUGGAAGUCCAGUCUGGUGGUCAGUUCGCAACAUACGUCACGCCAACUGUUCCAAUAAGUCAAGAGGCUUUACAAGUUACAGGCUUUUCAAUGACUUAUGGGACAAUGACAGUCAUUGGAUAAGUUCUGCAGCCAGUGUCGGGACAAUGACAUUCAAUGGAUAAGUUGUGCAGCCAGUGUCAAUAUGAGUGGCUGUCGAAAGAAUUAUACAUUGGCUUGAAAAGUUUCGAAAUGUGUGCUUAGUUGUUCAUAAUUGUCGUCGUUUUGAUUUAACAAUUUUUGUUUCAAUCAUGGUAAAUGUAAGUGCAAUUUAUAUUUUGUAUAACUGCGCUUUUAUCGAUUCUCUAUCAAUAUUCAAAAAUCAAAAGCCAGGGGGUGGAUCGUACGCAAGUAACUGGCGUGGCGUAAGUGAGAAAAAUAGUAACUGGUGUUCAAAAUGGCGGUUAACGGGUGAAUUGUGAAUGUUUGCGUCGGAGUUUUUGGAAGGGUUGUACAUUUACGAUACUUAUUCGACAUUAUAAUUACGCGCAGAAUGAUCUACUAAUAUCCAUUUAACCUCGGUAUAAAUCCUAUUGAUGAAUUAUCAAUAUUAAAAAAGUAAUUUAAGACUUUAUGAACAAGAUUCUCAUUGUUUACGAUUGACACGGUUCAUUGUAUGUGUAUUUGUAUGCCAUAUAUAAGGGUUUCUCACCAGUUUUUAUGGAAAUGUGGACUCAAAAACCAUUAUAGUUUAACUUUUAUGAGCGCCAGGAUGCUUCCAACAGGCAAUCGCAAUGUAUGCAUCAAAAUUCGAAAAUUAAACCCCAUUUCAAUAACAGUUCGUUUCGGAUGAAGACAGCCAAAGCACGCCGCUACGAGACGCCUGAUGACGUCACGGAGGAGAUGCGUCCGACUGAAACUGACAGUAGCCACACUGCAUUGGACUUGUCGAUGAUAUCACGAAUUGUUGUUCGAAACCAUGAGUUUGACAUAAGGGCUCCGCACAAAGGAAAGAAGGGAACGAUAAGCAACCUCGGUGGAAUUCCGAAAGGCGUUCGGUCGAUUCGGGAACACUUCAAAGUAAAUGAAUCAAAAAUACUACCUUCUUUAAGACUUGGCAUUUCAUCUAAUGAUUUAAACGAACUCUAAAUAAAACAAAUAAUACUCUUUUCCUUAUAGCUGAUUUAAAGUGACUUUGACAUUAAAAAGGGAUUCAUAUAAACAAUGUUGUUUUAAUCAUAAAUAAAUGAUUUUGUAUAAGCAAAGAAUAAGUAAUGCAACGGAUAUCAUUUCAUGUUAGCAGUAUUUGAACAUGAUAUUAUUUUGAAAUACCCUUUUCUUAAAUGUCAACAUUUUAUAUAAACGUACUUAAAUAAAUAAUUGUCUUGUAAAAUAGUAAGAUAUGUGUUUGUUAAGGUACUGUCGAAUGUAAUAUAAUAAUAUUUAUGUUAAAAAAUAUUUUUGUAAGUUGCUUACCUGCCCAGGGUUAACACAAGACUGCUAAAUAAGUGUUAGUAUAACAGAACAACUAUACGUAUUGCAUACAUAGGCAACCUUUUUCAAUAUCGUUUUGUGCGGUUCAGAUUGGGUAUGAUUAAACUUCAGGAACAAUGCCGGUUAUAAACCAGUAGCAUACAGAUUUAUAUUUUAUUCUUAACCUUAACUUGGAAAAAUGCGUAUCACGCUGAAACGAGUAAGAACAUGUAAUUGCUAUACAUUACAAUUUCAGCCUCAUUACAAUUUUAGGUGAUAAAAUGCAAACGUACUGGUUAUUUGCUUAGUUAGAAAGUAAAUGUUCAACCCUGAAGAUUUGAACAAGCAAUAAUGACUUAAUAUCAUUAUGGAAUAUGACCCUUCAUUUUUCUCCAAACAACUUAUCUCCGCAAAUAGUAAAUGGAGAAUAACCCACACUUGAUAUAUGUGUUUAUAGGUAACUUCACAAUUGUCCUUGGUUCAUUAACCAUGAUGUUGAUAUCUGUUUUGUAUGUAUUUAUAAAAGCAUUUUCAGUGAUUGUGUUGUUUAAAUUUAACAUUUACCAUUUUGUGUUGUGCUUUUUUGGUUAAGACUUGUCUAAGUAAAAAGGAGUUUUUCUAUACUAGUAUUUUAUUUCUUUCAUUGUUAUAUCUAUGAAUACACUUAUCAUAGUCCCUUUAAACCGAUGUUGGGACAAUAUCUGUCUCCCGGAAAUCAUGGAAAAGCUUUGCCAGAUAAUGUGCAUAGGAGACAAAUAACAAGAUUCAACGAGGCCGUGUUUUCUUAUUUAAAGUGUUCUCGGAAUUUUGAUAAGUAUGAGAUUAAAAGUAACUAAUAUUGGUGUCACACGGUAAAAGUUGUAUUACCCGUUUUGUGGCUUAAAUCCGCGAGACAAGUACAGCAAACUAUAAAUAUGAACGUUUUUUAUGCCCUCAGAACAUUGGUUUUGGGGGCAUAUUAAAAUCGCACCUUCCGUUAGUUAGUUAGUCAGUUAGUCAGUCCGUUAGUCCGUCCGGAUUAGUUUCCGCUCAAUAAGACAAGCAAUUGUCAUCAGAUCUUCACCAAACUUCAUGAAAAUGUGUAAGGCAAUAACAUCUAGGUCAAGUUCGAUAAUCGGCCGAAUGGCCCAGACACUCUUGAGUUACGGCCCUUGAAUCAUCGUAAAAUUGGGUUGUUUCUUGUUUCCGCUGAAUUAUUCGAGCAAUUGUCAGAUCUUCACCAAACUUCAUGAAAAUGUGUAAGGCAAUAACAACUAGGCCAAGUUCGAUAAUCGGCCGAAUUCACCCAGACACUGCUGAGUUACAGCCCUUGAAUCAUCGUAAAAUUGGGUUUUAUCUGGUUUCCGCUCAAUAACUCUAGCAAAUGUCAUAAGAUCUUUGCCACACUUCAUAAAAACGUGUAAGGCAAUAAAAUCUAGGUCAAGAUCGAUAAUCGGCCAAAUUGACUCAGACACUCCUGAGUUACGGCCCUUGAAUCAUCGAAAAAUUGUGUUUUUCUCGUUUCCGCUCAAUAACUCGAACAAUUGUCAUAGGAUCUCCGCCACACUUCAUGAAAAUAUGUAAGGUCAUAAGAUCUAGGUCAAGUUCGAUAAUCAGCCAAAUUGACUAGGACACUCCUGAGUUACGGCCUUUGAAUCAUCGAAAAAUUGAGUUUUUUUCCUUAUGUUAUGAAGUUGUGCAUGUUGGAUUGUUAUUGUCCUAUAUCAAAACUGAAUUUUUUUAUGCCCCCGGUAGGGUGGCAUAUAGCAGUCGCACUGUCCGUCCGUCUGUCCGUCCGUCUGUCUGUCCGUCGCACUUUUGCGUUUAGGUUUCGAAAAGUGCUCAUAACUUCUAUGUCGCUUCAGAUGUAACCUUCAUAUAUGGUAUGCAUGUGUAUAUGGACAAGGCCUUUCCAUACGCACACACAUUUUGACCCCUUUGACCUUGAACUUGAACUUAGGGUCCGCGUUUAGUUUUCGAAAUCUGCGUUAAGUUUCGAAAA